UACGUAGGGUGCAAGCGUUAAUCGGAAUUACUGGGCGUAAAGCGUGCGCAGGCGGUUUUGUAAGUCUGUCGUGAAAGCCCCGGGCUCAACCUGGGAAUUGCGAUGGAGACUGCAAGGCUUGAAUCUGGCAGAGGGGGGGUAGAAUUCCACGUGUAGCAGUGAAAUGCGUAGAGAUGUGGAGGAACACCGGUGGCGAAGGCGGCCCGCUGGGCAGGAAGGGGGGUCGUAAGACCCCCGGCUGACACUGAGGCGCGACAGCGUGGGGAGCAAACAGG
rnacentral:rRNA from 1 species